AUGAGUUACUUGAACCGUGUUUGGAUGGCAACAACCGUGGCGGUGGCGCAAGGCCACCCUGAUCCAGGCCAUAAGUGCAAAACAGCUCUCGGAUCUAUUCACCAAAACAGGACUCGUCACUUCUCCGCCGACAGUUUGUCUGAUCUCCGGCCGUUGACCGCCGUCGCUGUAUCGGACGUACCCGUGAGUUCUGAGGCGGAAGAGAGGCUGAGACAAACCGACGAUUCUCUCCGGAAAGUGAUGUACAUGAACUGCUGGGGUCAAGCCUAA